rnacentral:rRNA from 1 species
AACGAACGCUGGCGGCAGGCUUAACACAUGCAAGUCGAGCGCCCCGCAAGGGGAGUGGCAGACGGGUGAGUAACGCGUGGGAAUCUACCCAUCUCUACGGAAUAACGCAUGGAAACGUGUGCUAAUACCGUAUACGUCCUUCGGGAGAAAGAUUUAUCGGAGAUGGAUGAGCCCGCGUUGGAUUAGCUAGUUGGUGGGGUAAAGGCCUACCAAGGCGACGAUCCAUCGCUGGUCUGAGAGGAUGAUCAGCCACACUGGGACUGAGACACGGCCCAGACUCCUACGGGAGGCAGCAGUGGGGAAUAUUGGACAAUGGGCGCAAGCCUGAUCCAGCCAUGCCGCGUGAGUGAUGAAGGCCCUAGGGUUGUAAAGCUCUUUCACCGGUGAAGAUAAUGACGGUAACCGGAGAAGAAGCCCCGGCUAACUUCGUGCCAGCCGCCGCAGUAAAAC